rnacentral:rRNA from 1 species
UACGGAGGGUGCAAGCGUUGUCCGGAUUUAUUGGGUUUAAAGGGUGCGUAGGCGGCCUUUUAAGUCAGGGGUGAAAUCCCGGGGCUCAACCCCGGAACUGCCUUUGAUACUGGGAGGCUUGAGUUCGGUAGAGGCGGGCGGAACUGGUGGUGUAGCGGUGAAAUGCAUAGAUACCACCAAGAACCCCGAUUGCGAAGGCAGCUCGCUGUGCCGAAACUGACGCUGAGGCACGAAAGCGUGGGGAGCGAACAGG